rnacentral:lncRNA from 11 species
UCUCCAGUUUUGUCCUUCCCCCUCGACGCGGAGGCACCUGUUUUGCCCCCUACCCCCCGUCCUUCUCCUCCAUCCCAACACACAAAUAAAAGCGUCCUUUGCCUCGCAGAUUGGGGAGAAGGGGGGGGGGGGCAACUAGAGGAGGAGCAGAGGCGGAGCUCCAGGAAACCCGGCUGCUGAUACUGCUGCGAGGUGCAGCAGUGCGUGCGCGCUUCCCUCCCUGCCUGCCUGCCUGCCUGGGGAGAUGCGUGCGUCUUGUUGCCUUCGGUAACCAGGGAGCCGCGGAAGCUUCGGCGUGGUGUUUCCGAGGGCGUUUGGGAAGGUUUGGUUCAGGUCUCAGAAACGGAAGCGGUUCUACUGCGCAAUCUCUCUGGAAAAGUGAACAUUUCUUAGCUAGAAAUAAAACCCUGCAGUGACUUACUACAUGCAGUGCUGCAAGUUAUGAUAUUUUGCAAAAUGAAAUGAUCAGACUCUGCCAUCUUAAAGUGGAUAUUCUGUAUACAGAAGUAUUUUUUCUGCAGACCAGAAAUGGCUUCCUCAAGGUUAGCGGCAAGAACACCUCGGGAUAUUGCUGGUGUCAUGCAGAGACUUCAAGGUGAGUGAUUAGUAGAGACUGUAAGCAUAGCUAUGUCUACUUCUUCAGAUUUUACUUAACUCGAGUGAAACACAGCCUUUUGUUUCAUGUUUAGUCUACUGAAAAACAUUCAGCAAAUCCACAAGGAACCUUUGAAUUAGCUCCUUUUGAAAAUGAAAAUGAAUGCUUUUGCAUUCAUUUAAGUCCAAACAUUGUUUGUCUAGCCAGUUCCUAACUUGUUAUUAACAAUGUCCUUAAGAUAGUAAUGUAUCUAAUCCAGCCACUAUGGUUAUUUAAAAGCUACUAUGGUUAUGUGAGAGCAUACUGAGUGAUGCAGAACUGCAGUCAGUAAUUUGUCCAUCCUGUGUACUUGCUGUAAAACAUGCUACUUUUCUGAGAUACAAGUGGUCACUGAAAAUUUAUAAAUGCCAAUACCUAUGUUUAGUUAAUUAACAAAUUACAAUUGCUACAGAAAUACCAAAAGAAUGUAGCUUGUAACACAUAGGGACAAUAUUUUAUUUCUAGACACAAAAAAGAUCAAUUUUCC